GGAGGUCAGAGGAGGAGGUCAAAGGUCAGUCAGUGGGAGGAGCCGUUAAUGUUCAAUUAUGUCGUAUUCUGUUUGCUUCCAGAGCAACG